GCCACCCAGGCGCCCCUGCAAUGAAGUAUUUUUAAAUUAAGCUUUCUGGAAGGGACUCGGCUGUCUCCGAGGUGUUCCUGGGCUCUGCGUGGUCGGUCCAUCUUCAGGACCCUGUGGUGGCUCUCUGCUACGGAGAGAGGAAACUCCCGGGUCCCCGCGGCGGUGCUCUGGGCCCUCAGCAUGUACCUCCGUCCGCCUUCAUUGCCCGUGGCGUUCUCUCUGGCCCUUUAGAGGUUCCCUGAGUCUCUCUGUUUCUACACCGGUUUCAUCCUGCUGCCCCUCCCCCCUCCCCCAUUGGGGUCUAGAAAGUGCUUUCCUUGGUUCUUUCAUGCACAUGGUCAAAUCCUACCUAUUAUGUCAUUUGAGUCUCAUAAAAUCUAUGAGUUAGUCUUAGA